rnacentral:rRNA from 1 species
GAUGAACGCUGGCGGCGUGCCUAAUACAUGCAAGUCGAGCGAACAGACGAGGAGCUUGCUCCUCUGACGUUAGCGGCGGACGGGUGAGUAACACGUGGAUAACCUACCUAUAAGACUGGGAUAACUUCGGGAAACCGGAGCUAAUACCGGAUAAUAUAUUGAACCGCAUGGUUCAAUAGUGAAAGACGGUUUUGCUGUCACUUAUAGAUGGAUCCGCGCCGCAUUAGCUAGUUGGUAAGGUAACGGCUUACCAAGGCAACGAUGCGUAGCCGACCUGAGAGGGUGAUCGGCCACACUGGAAGUGAGACACGGUCCAGACUCCUACGGGAGGCAGCAGUAGGGAAUCGUCCGCAAUGGGCGGAAGCCUGACGGAGCAACGCCGCGUGAGUGAUGAAGGUCUUCGGAGCGUAAAACUCGGUUACUAGGGAAGAACAAAUGUGUAAGUAAAUAUGCACGUCUUGACGGUACCUGAUCAGAAAGCCACGGCUAACUACGUG